rnacentral:rRNA from 1 species
GGACCCGCACAAGCGGUGGAGCAUGUGGCUUAAUUCGAUGCAACGCGAAGAACCUUACCUGGGCUUGACAUGUUAGUCGUAGAUUUGUGAAAGCUUAUCGUCACUUCGGGUGGACUAUCACAGGUGCUGCAUGGCUGUCGUCAGCUCGUGUUGUGAAAUGUUGGGUUAAGUCCCGCAACGAGCGCAACCCUUAUCCUUGUUUGCCAGCACGUAAUGGUGGGAACUCCAGGGAGACUGCCGGUGAUAAACCGGAGGAAGGUGGGGACGACGUCAAGUCAUCAUGGCCCUUACGAGUAGGGCUACACACGUGCUACAAUGGCGCAUACAGAGGGCAGCAAGCUAGCGAUAGUAAGCGAAUCCCAAAAAGUGCGUCGUAGUCCGGAUUGGAGUCUGCAACUCGACUCCAUGAAGUCGGAAUCGCUAGUAAUCG